AUUGAACGCUGGCGGCAGGCCUAACACAUGCAAGUCGAACGAGUGGCGGACGGGUGAGUAAUGUCUGGGAAACUGCCCGAUGGAGGGGGAUAACUACUGGAAACGGUAGCUAAUACCGCAUACCAUCGGAUGUGCCCAGAUGGGAUUAGCUAGUAGGUGGGGUAAUGGCUCACCUAGGCGACGAUCCCUAGCUGGUCUGAGAGGAUGACCAGCAACACUGGAACGGAGACAAGGACAAGACUCCUACGGGAGGCAGCAGUGGGGAAUAUUGCACAAUGGGCGAAAGCCUGAUGCAGCCAUGCCGCGUGUAUGAAGAAGGCCUUCGGGUUGUAAAGUACUUUCAGCGGGUAGGCGUUACCCGCAGAAGAAGCCCCGGCUAACUCCGUGCCAGCCGCCGCGGUAAUUC
rnacentral:rRNA from 1 species